rnacentral:tRNA from 1 species
AUCUUUUUAGUAUAAAUUAAAUAUAAUUGACUUCCAAUCAAUAGAUCUUAAACAUAAGAAAAGAUA